UCAUUAGAUACCCGGGUAGUCCGCGGAUCAGCAUGCCGCGGUGAAUACGUUCCCGGGCCUUGUACACACCGCCCGUCACACCAUGAGAGUCGGGAACACCCGAAGCCCGUAGCCUAACUUUAACGAGAGGGCGCGGUCGAAGGUGGGUUCGAUAAUUGGGGUGAAGUCGUAACAAGGUAGC
rnacentral:rRNA from 1 species